UUUGACAGCAAAAUUGAUAACAUUUUCGAGUUUUGUCUGUAUGUACAGUCAGAUGUGUAAUAAUUCAGUCUCAUUUAUUUUGGAAAGAUUUUGAGGGUGUCAUCCCAAAGAAGCCUGGAACAAGGAUUGUUUUGCAAAUCCAACUUAAAAACACAGUCCAUGAAUCAGUUUCAUGUAAUGAUCUCCAUGUAAUGCAAGAUCAAGAUAACUUGUCACUAUUGGGCUCCAGUUUCUUAGUGGCACAAAUAUGGAAAGGCUCGAAGCAUUAGUCAUGUAAGUCUUGCAGUUAACCUCCUGUGUGCUGCGCCAGUGUAUAACACACUCUGAAGUGAGAGAAGAGUAUGCACAAAGGAAGAUAGAGAUGGGCAGAGAAACAACGGAAAAAGAGAAUCGCAGAAAGAAAACAGACACAUAAGCAGAAACAAACAGAUAGAGACGGGACAAAGGAACUGGCAAGAAAAUGUACAAGUUGGAGAGAGAGUCCGAGAAAGAAACAGAUCAAUAAAGAGACAGGUGGAGAGAGAUAACAGAUGGUCUUGUGUAUUUGGAGAUUUCCAGCAGCUGCAACUUUUUAUUUGCUCCCUGGAUGCCGACGAUGAAAUUCCAGUCAUCUGGACUCUUGGCAAUUUGCUUCCAGGUGGGAGGUUAAAUUGAGCAUCUGAUCUUGGGUUUGACUUCUGAGUUUAGUGUGGAAGGAAUAUUCUAUUAUUUCGUAAGAUUAGAGAUUAGAUUUAUUAGUCAUACAAUAAAAUAUGUUGUCUGCAUAAAAUCAAAUCAGCGAGGAUUGUGCUGGACAGCCCUUAAGUUUCGCCAGGCUUCUGGAACCAACAUAGCAUGCACACAAUUCACUCACCCUAGCCACACAUUUACAGGGAGAGUGUACUAACCCCUUAGGCUUAGAGACUGUGAUGGAGAGCACUCAGUAAACUCACUCCUUACACACACACACAUACA